rnacentral:rRNA from 1 species
AUUGAACGCUGGCGGCAUGCUUUACACAUGCAAGUCGAACGGUAACAGGCCUUCGGGUGCUGACGAGUGGCGCACGGGUGAGUAAUGCAUCGGAACGUACCCAGAGGUGGGGGAUAACGCAGCGAAAGCUGUGCUAAUACCGCAUGUGAUCUGAGGAUGAAAGCGGGGGACCGAGCAGCAAUGUUUGGCCUCGCGCCUUUGGAGCGGCCGAUGUCGGAUUAGCUAGUUGGUGGGGUAAAGGCCUACCAAGGCGACGAUCCAUAGCUGGUCUGAGAGGACGACCAGCCACACUGGGACUGAGACACGGCCCAGACUCCUACGGGAGGCAGCAGUGGGGAAUUUUGGACAAUGGGCGCAAGCCUGAUCCAGCAAUGCCGCGUGCGGGAAGAAGGCCUUCGGGUUGUAAACCGCUUUUGGCAGGAACGAAACGGUGUCCGCUAAUACCGGGCGCUAAUGACGGUACCUGCAGAAUAAGCACCGGCUAACUACGUG